UGGAGUAGAGGGGAGGGACUAUGAGGGCGUGAUUUACAAUUAAAAUUAGAUUAAAUUAAUUAAAAAAUAAUUUUAAAAUUUACAACUUACAAUACACCCCUGGCUGUGUGAGAGCCUCAGUUGGGCCACCCCUGGAAACGGACCUGUGUGUGUGUGUGUGUGUGUGUGUCCCCAAUCGGAAGCCCAUUUUUCAGAUUACGAUACCACGUGAAUGCCUGCUCAUGGGAUGAUGAUUACAGCAGACUGAUGGAUGUUUAAUUCUGUCGUUUUCCAGGGAUUUCAACCACCAUGUAUUCAGUCAGGUUGACAGACUGACUGGUUCUAGUUUUUAACCUCAAGCUACCAGGUACAGCUGAUAUCAUUAAACACCCGGUAAUGCUAUCUUGAUGCACAUAUCCCACCGAUGCACACACUGUCAACAAGUUACUAAAGAGACAUUGUGAAUUACCUGUAGUUCCGAUUUCCAUUCAUGAGGUCUCUGCCCGGUUCACUACCCGGAUCACAGUUGUCAAACGUUUGGGACUCUUCCUCCGUUCAAUCCGGUGUCUCCUCCGGGCAGUGCGCCGCCUCUGCACCGCUGAAUGGCCAAGCGCCUUGGUCUCCUUUUAGCUCCUCGACUUGCAGGCUCUGUCAAAAGAGGGGUCCUUCAGUGCGGUGGUCGUGGAUCCUCGGUGACCCCCACACACCGUCUACAAGGGAUCCACUAGGAUUUCAGUGCCACGGGGGAAAGCUACUGGUUGCUGAACGGCAGUGAAAACCUGCUAGUUAGCCAAGUUAGCUCGCUAGCAAGGCUUAAAAAAGUGAGAGGAACAGGCGACAGGAGCUGUCAGGAUAUCAUAGCAGCGGAGUCACUGAGCCUAAAUGAACACCUAACUACACAUGGCCCUUAAUAUACACGACAUUAAUGCGUAUUUUCAGUAAAACGAGCGUCGGAGGAGCUACAAUGAUGAGCUAGCUCGGCUGUUAGAGAGUUGGAUUCUGACAGUCGACGGUUACUUUUUAAAAGCAGCCGUUGAGUCGGCCCCGUGUCCUCAGCAUCUUCUCCCACAGACCCUCCGUCCUCUGGAGUGUGUAUCCCGGUAUGAGUAUUAAGCUGUCAGCGCCGCCAAGUAUCCGCCGACAAGUGUCAAGUUUUCAGUCUGGUUGACAGAUCAACUGUGCUGGGCUUCGGCGAGCCAGCUAAAUAUGGUGAAGUUGCCUUUCUGACACCGACAGGAAGAGGUGGGCUCUGUGUCAGCAGACGUCAGAAGAACCAACUCCGCCUUCACCCAAAGCACAGAAUGAGGGAUACAACACCGACCCCAACUGUGAAAGGCCCGGCAACUGGUGAGCCAAAAUACCUAACAGAUGGUAGCGGGCACGGAAGGCCACAAGACGAGCAUAGUAGGCUGGCGCAGGGAUGGAGACUGAGCGGGUACAACGCACGUAAGUGUGGCACAACUGGUAGGUUAGAAUCUGCAACUCGUCAGCCGUGAAACGAUUGUCGUCCCACAAGACGUAGUAAUGAGAUGGCCGGCUGGUACCCUGGAAACAGAGUGUGUAAAAAUGUUAGAAUAAAGAUAAACCUAUGCAAUGUGAACGUCUUCUAAUGACUUAUUAAGCUCGUUUUAGUACCUGUAUGCCAGCAUGGCUGCACAGGUAGAAGUCAAACUCAAAGGGAUGAGUGAUGCUGGUGUCCACUGUUGUCCCUGCAGGAAUGUUCCCACUCUUCCCGAUCUAUCAAAGAAAACACAAGGGAAGGGAUUUUUAACAAAUGAUCAAACAUACAUCACUUGAAAUAUUUUGAAAAUAUGUGGAAUGAAAGAAAGCUUACCCUCUCUGACUUGUCAGCACAGAAGAGGCGUGUGUGGUGGCGUUUCUGCACCACGAUGUAGGUGAUCCCGGGCUGAUAGUCCUUCUCCAGCUUGAUGCACGCGUCUCUGAUGGCGAGGAGCUCAUAGUGGAGAAUCUACGCAUAGGAAUAUUGUUUAGUUGAACUCAUCAUUGGUGGACUCUAGCAUAACAAAGAGCUCAGCUGUGUGACCCCACAUUACCUGUGGCAGCUGUCCCUCAGGAACUCCGUCUCUGUAGAAGAUGAUCCUGGUGGGUUUGAAGCGGGUGGAUUUGUAGAACUGAAUGAGCAGUUCGCGCACCAUGUAAGAGAGAUCUUCGAUGAUUUCUUGGCGGGGUCUUUGGACUCGCACUGUGGCACAGUAUCUGCUGGGAUGAGCAUCCAUACUGCCUACCACCUGAAAGAAAGCAGAGGGAAGGGUUGACAGAGGUGAUGAUUGAUUAGAUUGCCAUGAGUAAUACAAGUAUGAAGUUAUAAAGACCUUACAUUUCUAGAGGGAGGCCGUUUCUCUCUCUGAGCAACACAGAGAGACCAAUGCACGCUUUUAUUAACAACAGGCUAGACUACUGUAAUGCUCUUCUUUCUGGUCUUCCAAAGAACACAAUAAACAAACUGCAACUACAAAAUCCAACAGCAAGAGUUUUAACGAAGACCAGAAGGAGAGCACACAUUACGCCUAUUUUAAAAUCUGUACAUUGACUUCCCUGCUUUUAAAAUUAUUUUACUAGUUUUUAAGGCGCUGCAUGGCCUUGCACCAGACUACCUAUCAGAGAUGCUUUAGUGUAUAAACCUUAUGAUGACAGCAGACACAGGCCCUUAUGAGGACAGCAGACACAGGCCCUUAUGAGGACAGCAGACACAGGCCCUUAUGAGGACAGUAGACACAGGCCCUUUAGAAGGAGUGUGGACACACAUGAAUGAUGCUUUUUUUAGAGUAAAAGUUGAAACUGUUUAGGCAUUUCUCAGAUCUUCCGGGUCCUCUCUUUUAUCAGUUCCUAAGAGGAGAACAGAAACAUUUGGUGACGCUGCUUUCAGCCACUACGCUCCUUAACUAUGGAACAGCCUGCCAGAGGAUCUGAGAGGAGCUGACAGAGAUAUUGAGACUUUUGAACAUAAAUCAAAAACGUAUUUAAUCAGUCUGGCUUUUAUGUAGGGUUUAAACAAUUUUAUUACUUACCUUUUACUAUAAUAUUGAUUUAAA